CCGGCCCCCGGCUAGUUGCUCGCCUCACGCCGGCCCGAGUUGGCGGCAGCGCCAGAGGCCCCGGGCCUGUGACCCCAAAGAGGGAGCCGGGGGCCGGACGGGAGUGCGUCGGCGGCGGCUUAGACCCAGGCCAGGCCCUCUCCCCUCAGCCUCCCGCCUGCCUGUCUGCCCCGCCCCAGCCGGCGGCGCCGCGCCCCUCCGCCAACCGCCAGACUAGUACGUUGCGGGGGCCGUGCGCGAAGACAUCCGGGAGAAGCUGGAGCUGAGGCUGGAGUCGCCCGUGGGGACCGAGCCCGCCGUCUACCCGUGGCCGCUGACGGUCUACAGUUGCUGGACCGCUCCCUGCAGAAGAACCGGGAAGAGUAAGACCAGGAACACACGUGGAAGAAGAAGAAAGAGAUGAUAAAGUAAAGCCUGGUCACCUCCAGGUUCUGAUAGAAAUAAAGUUUCCAGAAGUUGUGUUCCUGCAAUAAGAAAUAAAGAUGUGACCUUCCAGUUGUGUAAAGCUCUUAAAUGCUGUGUAAGUGCAUCGGGUGCCUACGGAACCUGGAGCUAAAUGGGCUAGUUCUGAGAGAGACUUAAUUACGUUAACAAAGGCACCACAGAUGGAAGGUGUGGAACUAUUAGAAGUAACCUGGAUGUCAACCCUGCUUCUGGGAGGCAUUUCUGACUACAAGGGCAGGAGAUUCUCUGAAGCCAGGAAAUCCAUCUCUGUCCUUUGCGGGGGCAGUCCUGAGCUCGUGUUUUAAUGGACGCGAAGGCAAACCAUGGUUCUCACGUGACUUUCUGAAGCACCCCCGCAGCAGGCCCAGUUCCAGAAAUGACGUCUGCUGAAGGGCGAACAUGUUCUAGCAAUGAAUCUUCAAAAGACUCCUGCCGCUGCUCUGUGACUGGGACCCCAGGUUGUCUUUGGAAGUUUCUAAGACCUCCUGAGUAGACACUGGGAUAUGGAAGGAGUCAAGAGGCAAAGGAAUCCUAGCGUCACCUGUAAUUUUCUGAAACUGGACGGAAAAACAAAAGACAAGACAAAAAUUCAGUGAUGAACAGAGCCAACCAUUAAAAAGUAGAGCUCAAAACUUCAAUGUUACUCUGUGAUCUUAUUAUUAACACAGUCAAUAUUCAGAAGAUUUCAGAGCCAGUUUUUUUCUAAUUAUAUCUUGCCAAGUGAUUCGUAGCUUAACCUAGCUAUAUCCAAGACUAUGUCCGCUACAUUUUCAGACUUUGGUGAUUGGGGUACUUAUUACCCAUUUCCUUUCCCUCACUAAAAAUAAAACCCUAUUCUGUAAGAUAAUUAAUUUCUUUUCUAUCCUCCAGGCACAUGCAAACAGUAUAUAGUUUGUGACCAGACUGUGUUCUCAAGCUGUCAGUUCCCAAGACCAGUCUGAGAUUGGCUGAUGGGGGCUCCAAGCAAGGCUAGAGGAAAAGCUGACAGGUUUCCCCUCCCAUUUCCAUAACCAGAGUUCAAAUGUCCCCCAUUCACCUUGGUCUAAGCUUAACCAGUCAAGGAGAUACAACGCAGAUGGGAGGAGAAAACAGAACCCUCACACAAGCUGUGCCGUGUUGCAAUCAACCUUCCAUUUGAAAAAUAAUCUUCUCUAUAGCUUUAAAGUGAUACCUUUGUACUGGCAAUGCUUCUUGUUUCAAACUGAUUUUCUCUGGCUCUUCCCAAACACUUUCUGAGGAAUCAUCAACCUCUUCGAUUUCUGAGGAGGAAGGACCCUCUACUGUCACAGUCACAGGAAAUUCUGAUGGACCUGAGUGUCACAAGAAGGAGAUAGGAAACCACAGAGUUGUUAAAGUGCAAAGAAAGAAGACAAGAUUGUAUAAAAGACAACAUAAGCCAGAUACCAAAUAUGCAAAUAUUAGAGGACAUUUAACAAAAGUGAUCUGAGGUAUCAUUAUUUAUAAAUGUCUCUCACUGCUCCUUAGUCUAAAACAGGCAAUGACUAAGUAACUUAUUUUUGCUAUGUUACUGUACAGACCUCUGUUGUACACAGUUAGGAUUAGUAAUGGGAAUUGCCCAUAUUAUUUUAUUAAGUUUCUUUCACAGAAGCCAAGGGAAGAUCCAAGGUAACCAUUUUUUCUCAGAUCAACUUUAGACUGCAAAUGAAAAAUUUAUUUUUCACUAUCAGACAAAAACAGUCUGGAAGAAAAUGUAGUUUUUCAGAGGAAAAUACAUCAGUAAAGGGACUGAUAUAGAAUCAGAAGAAUAAUCAGAAAGUCAACAUAUCUAAGCUGUGUAUAAUAGAUGUUAGAAUUUAAAAAAGUAAAUCACAUACACAUACAUAACUAAAACUGACCCAUCAAAAAUUUCAUCUUCUCAUCACCCUUAAGCCAAAACUAGGGUAACAGUAAUACAAUUCUCCUGUCAAGCUUCACUGCCACUGCAAUGUUGUUCAAUUGGACAUUUCCAAACAUUUAAAACCUGACCUGGCCACAACCCCACAAAAUUCUACAGAUCAUAAAGAAGUGUGCUGGGAUUAUGUAACUAUGCAGAAGACAAGUAACUAGGACAUCAUUUUGACAACAAGCAGCAAGCCUGCAGCAUAGGAAAAUCCCAACAGGAGAGCGAGGCGCACACCUCUCUCUCUGGGCAUGCAAGGGCAGGACUGACACCCAAGAUGCUCUUCUCUCAACCUCAGCAGUGGUGCCUUUCACAGAGCAACUAUGCAGUCUCCCAGAACCACUGGGAAGGAGAAUCUGAUACUGACAGUAUUAGCUUGCCGUGAGGCCAUGAGUGAGGGAAUGUGUGUGGCCUUGGUGAGAGAGCAGAGGUUUGGUAGAUGUCGCUUUAUAUUGGCUUUUAGAUCAGGAAUUUGUACAUAGAGCCCGCAAACAACGUUUCUUGAAAACAUGAACAUUCUUGAGUAUGACAGCUCCACGUGAGGGGUCAGAAAUGGCAGUCAAGUUCAUUUCACUGGGUAACAGCUGAUGUGCGGACUGGAGAACAGGCUUCCUUGUUUACAGACAUAACCACAAGGCUGCCAGUUGUGUGCCAAACCCACACAACUACACAGUUGCAUUGAGAGAGCGACCAGACAAGUUCUACACAGAUUUAUUUCAGAGAGGGAAAUGCUUCCUGUAAGCCUCUGUCCGUUUAAAAAGCAAGAAGAAUGACCACCCACCUCUCCCAAUUCAAGCCCUACAUAUCAUAAAUAUGAUAGCUACACACCAGCAACUGAUUACAUACAUCACGAGCUUUGAUGAAUGGCAAGCCCCUAAAAAGAUAUCAACAAAACGAAGUUAGAUCUUGAUGUAACUACAUCACCAGUUAAACCCAGUUAAUACAACUAUUUAGUAUUAUGUACAGUAACCACACAGAAUUGUGUAUAAAAAUAAAUAAGCUCAAAACAAGGACCUGGAGGGCUCUGCUACGGAGAAAACUGAACAGAAUUCAGCCGACUGGCUUGGUAAUAACUCUCUGAACUGCUGAGAGGCCCCUUCAGUUCCUAUGUUCAAGAUGGUUGAGAUUUCAGUCUCACUUCUGUAAAUGGUUAUAUUAAUCAUUCUCUAAUUUACCACUCUGUGUGACGAGGAUGGACCUGAGAUAGUGUCUCAGGAAGAAGAUAGAAAACCACAGAGUUGUUAAACUCAAGUGCAAAGACUGGGGAUUCAACACUAUACUUUAUGCAACAGCAAUUCACAUUACCAUUUGGUCAGAUUCUUUCAACAAAACAGAAGCUGCACUCACAUGUAUUAAAAGACAAAAAUUAA